rnacentral:rRNA from 1 species
GAUUUCUGGUCUAGUGCGCCUGGCCCACUGCCGUUAGGUUUGUGAGUGCCGGUGCGCGCUUGCCAUCUUUUCUAGUCAGCGCCAUCUCUGUCCUUUACUGGUCGGAGGUGGUUUUGCGGGCUAGAUCUAUUACUUUGAAAAAAUUAGAGUGUUUAAAGCAGGCUUGCGCUAUGAAUAUAUUAGCAUGGAAUAAUAAUUUAGGACUUUGUUUCUAUUUUGUUGGUUUCUAGGAAUGAAGUAAUGAUUGAUAGGGACAGUUGGGGGUGCUAGUAUUCAUCGGCCAGAGGUGAAAUUCUUGGAUUCGAUGAAGACUAACUUAUGCGAAAGCAUU